rnacentral:rRNA from 1 species
GACAGAGGGUGCGAACGUUGUUCGGAAUUACUGGGCGUAAAGCGCGUGUAGGCGGCAGCGUAAGUCGGGCGUGAAAUCCCACGGCUCAACCGUGGAAGUGCACUCGAAACUGCGCAGCUAGAGUCCUGGAGAGGAAGGUGGAAUGCUUGGUGUAGAGGUGAAAUUCGUAGAUAUCAAGCGGAACACCGGUGGCGAAGGCGGCCUUCUGGACAGUGACUGACGCUGAGACGGACGAAAGCGGUGGGGAGCAAACAGGG